GGACGCCAUUUGGCUUUCGACCUGAGGUCAGGCAAGAACACCCG
rnacentral:rRNA from 1 species